rnacentral:lncRNA from 1 species
UGGUAACAAUAAUGAUCUCUAGUGGCAAUUAGUAUUGUUUAUGUGCCAGGCACCACCUUAAGCAGUGUACAUAUGUAAUUUGACUCAUUCACAUUACAAAAGCAUUGCUAUCUUUGUUGCACAAAUUGGAAACCUAGGUUUUAAGGAAUAAGUGUUUCUCUCGCUCACAGUAUUUCCAAGUGUCAGUGGCUUCUGCCUGGCUUAAUAAUAGUAGCCGCAGACCUUCACUCAAGACGGUUUUCAAAUCCAGAAAGCCUCAUAUUCUUUAAUAUUAUUGAAGAUCCCAAAGAGCUCUGAUUAUAUGGUUUACAUAUCUAUUGAUUUUCAGUGUAUAUUAAACCUGAGAAUUUUUUAAAAACCCACUAAUUUACAGUAGCAAAUAAACCUGCAUAUUUAUUUUGAAAAUAAAUAUUCUUUUAGAAAAAUAGAAAAAGAUAUAUGGCACUGUUUUUGCAUUUUUGUGAACCCUUAAUAUCUGGUAUCAGAGAAGACACCUGAAUUCUCACAGCUGCUCUGUACGGCACUCCUUGCAUCACACUUCAUUUGGUGAUGGAGAAUCCCUCUUUCAGGUUUGGGAAUCAGUUUAUAAGGCAAAUAUGACAUGAGUCAAAUAAUGAGGAUACUUUUGAUCUUGAGGAUCUGGAAAUGGGUCUUCAGGACACUAGGGGCUCCUGGAUAAUUUACCACUAUUGUUGAGAGGCAGUCAACAAAACAAAUAACCACAAUGAGAAAAGAACUUUUAGCAACUGUAAAAAUUGGAAUUUAUGUAUUUACGUUCUUAAUAAUUCUAUGUAGUAUAUAUGUAUGAUGUGUGUGUUUGUAUGUACGCAUUUAGUCAAAGAAGUCUUAUGGGAAUCCCACAGUAAACCCUGUGAAUUUCAAAUCAUUGACUAUUAUUACAAAUAACAAGAAAGACUCUAAAUAUGUAACAGUUGAGAAUUAUCAAUGGAAAUGUAAACAGGAUUUAUAAGUAAAAAGUGAACAAUGUUUCUCCCUAGAGUCACCUUCUAUUCUCUUUACCACAAGUUAGAUAUUUCUAAAAUACCUAUCAGGAGUCAGACAGUGUGCUUUUCAAGAAUGCGUAUUUCACUAUCAAAAUGUAAGGAUUCCGUUUUCUUAGGGUCACCUUUACCUGAUUUUAGCAUGACAUAACCAGCUGUAAUAGAAG